rnacentral:rRNA from 1 species
CACGUAGGGGGCAAGCGUUGUCCGGAUUUAUUGGGCGUAAAGAGCUCGUAGGCGGCUCGGUAAGUCGGGUGUGAAAUUUCGGGGCUCAACCCCGAACUUGCAGUGGGUACGGGCAGACUAGAGUGUGGUAGGGGAGACUGGAAUUCCUGGUGUAGCGGUGAAAUGCGCAGAUAUCAGGAAGAACACCAAUGGCGAAGGCAGCUCUCUGGGACGGUACUGGACGCUGAGACGCGAAAGCGUACGGGGAGCGAACAGG